rnacentral:rRNA from 1 species
UGGGGAAUAUUGCACAAUGGGCGCAAGCCUGAUGCAGCCAUGCCGCGUGUAUGAAGAAGGCCUUCGGGUUGUAAGGUACUUUCAGUCGGGGGGAGGGUGGUAAGGUUAAUAACCUUAUCAAUUGAGGUUCCGGACAGAGGAAGCCCCGGCUAACUCGGUGCAAGCGGCGGCGGUAAUACGGAGGGGGCAAGCGUUAAUCGGAAUUACUGGGCGUAAAGCGCACGCAGGCGGUUGAUUGAGUCAGAUGUGAAAUCCCCGGGCUUAACCCGGGAAUUGCAUCUGAUACUGGUCAGCUAGAGUCUUGUAGAGGGGGGUAGAAUUCCAUGUGUAGCGGUGAAAUGCGUAGAGAUGUGGAGGAAUACCGGUGGCGAAGGCGGCCCCCUGGACAAAGACUGACGCUCAGGUGCGAAAGCGUGGGGAGCAAACAGG